rnacentral:rRNA from 1 species
CUCCUUUUUCUAAUCAGUGAAACUAAUCUUCCCGUGAAGAAGCGGGAAUAUCCCCAUAAGACGAGAAGACCCCAUGGAGCUUCAAACCCAAUUACACCCCUAACCCCUAUAACUACUUAACCCUUAGGAUUCUGUAUUAUUGGUUUUAGGUUGGGGCGACCACGGAGUACAACAAAACCUCCACAAUGAACGGAACUACUUCCUCAUCUGAGAGCUACACCUCUAAGAAUUAAAAUAUUAACAUAAAAUGAUCCAUUUUUGAUCAAUGAACCAAGUUACCCUGGGGAUAACAGCGCAAUCCAUUUCAAGAGCCCCUAUCGACAAAUGGG